CCUACGGGAGGCAGCAGUGGGGAAUUUUGGACAAUGGGCGCAAGCCUGAUCCAGCCAUGCCGCGUGUGGGAAGAAGGCCUUCGGGUUGUAAACCACUUUUGUCAGGGAAGAAACGGUCUGGUCUAAUAAACCGGACUAAUGACGGUACCUGAAGAAUAAGCACCGGCUAACUACGUGCCAGCAGCCGCGGUAAUACGUAGGGUGCAAGCGUUAAUCGGAAUUACUGGGCGUAAAGCGUGCGCAGGCGGCUUUGCAAGACAGAUGUGAAAUCCCCGGGCUCAACCUGGGAACUGCAUUUGUGACUGCAAGGCUAGAGUACGGCAGAGGGGGGAUGGAAUUCCGCGUGUAGCAGUGAAAUGCGUAGAUAUGCGGAGGAACACCGAUGGCGAAGGCAAUCCCCUGGGCCUGUACUGACGCUCAUGCACGAAAGCGUGGGGAGCAAACAGGAUUAGAUACCCUGGUAGUCCACGCCCUAAACGAUGUCAACUGGUUGUUGGGAGGGUUUCUUCUCAGUAACGAAGCUAACGCGUGAGUUGACCGCCUGGGGAGGACGGCGCGUAGUAGUUAAGUUACGUAAGAAGUUAGUACGGCGNGNGAGNGCGACGGACGACGACGAGGAGGAGG
rnacentral:rRNA from 1 species